AUUGCUUCUCAGCCUUUUGGCUAAGAUCAAGUAUAGUAUCUGCUCUUAUCAGUUUAAUAUCUGAUACAUCCUCUAUCUGAGGACAAUGUGUUAAAUGGGUUUUUGCAGCAGGAAGUUGGAGUAGGAGCUUGCUCUGUCCACUUCAAAAGAAAAAAAAAUUAGGUACUAUUUAAUGAGUAUUUAUCUCUA